AGAGUUUGAUUAUGGCUCAGGANNNACGCUGGCGGCGUGCUUAACACAUGCAAGUCGAACGGAUUUAUUUUAUGGAAGCCUUCGGGUGGAAGUAAAAUGAAUUAGUGGCGGACGGGUGAGUAACGCGUGGGUAACCUGCCUUGUACAGGGGGAUAACAACCGGAAACGGUUGCUAAUACCGCAUAAGCGCACAGUGUCGCAUGACACCGUGUGAAAAGAUUUAUCGGUACAAGAUGGACCCGCGUCUGAUUAGCUAGUUGGUGAGGUAAUGGCUCACCAAGGCAACGAUCAGUAGCCGGCUUGAGAGAGUGAACGGCCACAUUGGGACUGAGACACGGCCCAAACUCCUACGGGAGGCAGCAGUCGAGAGGCUUCGGCAAUGGGGGAAACCCUGACCGAGCGACGCCGCGUGCGGGAUGAAGGCUUUCGGGUCGUAAACCGCUGUCAGGAGGGGAGAAUCCCCUCGGAUCAACACCCCGAGGGUUGACGGUACCUCCAAAGAAAGCUCCGGCUAACUCCGUGCCAGCAGCCGCGGUAAUACGGAGGGAGCGAACGUUGUUCGGAUUCACUGGGCGUAAAGGGCGUGUAGGCGGCUUGGUAAGUCAGGGGUGAAAUCCCGCGGCUCAACCGCGGAGUUGCCUUUGAAACUGCCGAGCUUGAGGCCGUGAGAGGAGACUGGAAUUCCCAGUGUAGCGGUGAAAUGCAUAGAUAUUGGGAAGAACACCAGUGGCGANNNCGNNUCUCUGGCACGGAUCUGACGCUGAUGCGCGAAAGCUAGGGG
rnacentral:rRNA from 1 species